rnacentral:rRNA from 1 species
GAUGAACGCUAGCUACAGGCUUAACACAUGCAAGUCGAGGGGCAGCAUGAACUUAGCUUGCUAAGUUUGAUGGCGACCGGCGCACGGGUGAGUAACACGUAUCCAACCUGCCGAUGACUCGGGGAUAGCCUUUCGAAAGAAAGAUUAAUACCCGAUGGCAUAGUUCUUCCGCAUGGUAGAACUAUUAAAGAAUUUCGGUCAUCGAUGGGGAUGCGUUCCAUUAGGUUGUUGGCGGGGUAACGGCCCACCAAGCCUUCGAUGGAUAGGGGUUCUGAGAGGAAGGUCCCCCACAUUGGAACUGAGACACGGUCCAAACUCCUACGGGAGGCAGCAGUGAGGAAUAUUGGUCAAUGGACGAGAGUCUGAACCAGCCAAGUAGCGUGAAGGAGGACUGCCCUAUGGGUUGUAAACUUCUUUUAUACGGGAAUAAAGUGAGGCACGUGUGCCUUUUUGUAUGUACCGUAUGAAUAAGGAUCGGCUAACUCCGUG